CUACUCACCUAGCUCUGGCUCCUUCCACGGCCACAUUCAGUCCUGCUGUCUCCUCCAGGGUACCGGUGGAGAACCCAAGGAUGUGAGGGUUGAACUUCUUCAGAAUGUCUUUUAAGAGGGUGAAGCAGACAGCACAGGAGCCCCAACGGGGAGAGCAGGGAGCGUACCGCCAGGACGGGGAGCCGGAUGUUGCGGAAGAAAGGCUGCAGUACCACGGAGAAGUCCUCCCUUGUGUCAUAGCGGCCUGACUCCACCAGUUCACGCAUGCUGCUCUCGUAUUAUUCCAGGCCAAUAGAUUUUGAGAACACAGCAUCAGCAACCAGCCCACCAGUAUAGACUUCCAAAGGACAGGCCAUGAAUCAAAGUCACGGUGGUUCUUCACUCAAGGAAAUGCUUGGAAUGAAGAAGACUAUUUCCUGCGAGGGUGGUCAAGUCAGAGGCUCAGCAGCCGCAGGUGGUAGAGAGGAAGAAGUCCCGUGAGCCCUGCCCUUCUACCUUACCCAGGCUUCAUGCCCAGCAUGGAGCCCAGCACAGGGCUUGAACUCACAACCCUGAGAUCAAGACCUGAGCCAAGAUCAAGAGUUAAGAUUAAGAAGCCCAACUGACUGAGCCACUCAGGUAGCCCUGAAGAAACAAAC